rnacentral:rRNA from 1 species
AUGCAGGUGGUCGCGCACCGUCUCGGCGUGCCGACGCUGGUGCUGCGCACGGGUGCCGCCGCCUGCCUCUUGGCUUACAUGGCCUUCCCGGCGCUCUGCGAUAAGGGCGUCCUCCCGCCACAAGGACUUUGA